GAACUCCGCGGGGGACGCGUGGUUCGACGUGUUCGCCUCCUUCCCCGCCGCCGCCCACCUCUCCCCCUUCCUCCCCGGCUCCCUCUUCGACGCCCUCUCCUUCCACCUCGACAAGGCCAUCGCCGAGCGACCGCCCCCGCACCUCUCCGACGCCGUCCUCUACAAGCAGGAGCUCACCAUCCUCGACANGCUCCACCUUCCUCUCCCGCAGCUUCUCCCUCGGCCCCUCCUUCCCACAAGGCCAUCGCCGAGCGACCGCCCCCGCACCUCUCCGACGCCGUCCUCUACAAGCAGGAGCUCACCAUCCUCGACACGCACAUCCACGACGACCGGCUCGUCGCCAUCCGCGAUCUCCUCGGCGAG
rnacentral:lncRNA from 1 species